UUCUACACGCACCACUAAACACAUCAUGUAAGUUAUGUGACAUACUGCUAACACACAAAAACGGUAACUUAAGUUUAAAAGGCAUGGAGAAAUGUACCUGUUUAGAACAUGGGGUAUUGGAGCACUUCACCCUCUUCUGGUCAGAAGUAGUAUUACAACAAUAUAUAUUUAAACAAAUGAUCCUGACCAAAAGAAAAACAGAUACAUUUGAAAAAGAAAUUAGAGUAAUCAUCGUAGAGAAACUUGUUUUUACCUGCUACGACUUAAUUUGAAAAAAAAUAAAAUAAACAGAUUUCCAGAAUAGUUAGGAUAUGUUUUUAAGUCAUGACUUUAAAUUUUCAGCUAGAAGUCACUUUUUGUAUUAGAAAACAUCUGACAACACUUCAAACAGAAGUAGUAGAAAUGAUCAAUGUCACUUUGUAAUAGCCAUCAUUAAUAAAUGAUAAAUAUAAAGAUAAUUUCACUCUUAACAAACAAUUAAAUGCUUUGUAAACUAGCAAUUAUAAAGGAUUAUAAUCAGUCAACCUUAAUGUUGCCAUCGAGAUCAUGUUUGUAGAAGAACAACACAGAAUUCAUAAACUAUUUACAAAGUCUUUUGUUUGUUAUCAGUGAAUAAGUAUUUCCUUAAGUCUAAGUUUAUAGUUUGUAUUUAAAAAGUAAGUUUAAAAAGUACGAGCUACAGAGAAACUGUAUGUCCAGCAGUUCAGUUCUUCCAUCACAGGGUGGCAGUAUGUAACAACCCAACAACACACUGCUGACACUGCAGGGACAGACAGGUUUCUGUCUCCUCGAUGGACUUAACUUUACAAACUGACAGACAGAACAGAGCAGGAGGAGACAGAAGAAGCAGUGUGAUGCCACUGAACAGGAUGGAAAGGAGUCAACAUAAAGUGAACGGAAACCAGAAAUCAUCAUAGUGUUUCAUGAUGGGAGUCCAGCAAAGACCCUGAUAAAGACCACCAGCUGAAACAUGUUGGUCCAAUAAUUAAGCUGUUCUGUGAACCACCAGUGAAGUUGAUUUCCUCUUCAGACUUUUUUCCUUUUCCAUCUACCUUGGAAGUUGGUAAAGCUCUUCCAGAAAUCCCUUCUCUGCUUCCACAGUCCAGUAAAGAACCUAAUUGUGUACAGGUGUUGCCAAGGUGAUCCCAGAUGACUCAGGAGAAGGCUGCUCGUUCGCUGGUUGUCUUGGAGGAAUGCGGAUCCCGACCUCCGAGAGGAUCUUGUGUGUCUUCAACAAACUCCAAGCGCAGAGGGCGAGGGGGGUCCACUGCCACGCUCCGUCUCCCGCUAAAGAGGUUUAUCCAUGUGUGGCACCACACUGUCCGCGAGACAUCCUGUCAACAGGCCUGCCGCCCUGCUUCUUUGUCCUCUGUUCCCUGGUCCCUCUGCAUGCAAGAAGCCAGACUUUUAGUCCAUCAGUGCGACGGAAGAAGGAGGGAGAUUCUUUCUUGAAAAGGGCAAUAAAGUAAGGUGGCGUAAUCCAGCGAUUGUUUUGUCUGCAUCAUCGUGAAAGAAAGAUAAGGCUCCUCCGGGAUUGUCCAUGCACUGGAUUAGCUGCUAAUCCCUCCUGUCUUCCCUCCCUCUCUGACUCCCUCACUUGCUCUCUGCCUUCUUCAAUCCACUUAGUCCUUCGAUGGUCUCCGAUGGCAGCGGGGGGCUUCUGUGUUUUCAUGCAGUUCACUUGAGGCCGGCUAAGAGAACAGACAGGGAGACAAGGGGAGAGGUGUGAGUUACACACUGGACCAAAGACUAAAGCAUGUGCACUGAGGCUCACAUAAACGUGUCAGGCAACUAAGACACUGGAUUGACUGAUUCUGGGGGUGUUUUCUCUCUCUCUCUCUGUUGCCUGAGAAGUGAGCAGGUUCUCAAGAAUUUGUUCAGGGACGGAACCAAACAAAUAAAACCUGAGUGCAGUGGGAA